UACGUAGGGGGCAAGCGUUGUCCGGAAUUAUUGGGCGUAAAGCGCGCGCAGGCGGUCCUUUAAGUCUGAUGUGAAAGCCCACGGCUCAACCGUGGAGGGUCAUUGGAAACUGGGGGACUUGAGUGCAGAAGAGAAGAGUGGAAUUCCAUGUGUAGCGGUGAAAUGCGUAGAGAUGUGGAGGAACACCAGUGGCGAAGGCGACUCUUUGGUCUGUAACUGACGCUGAGGCGCGAAAGCGUGGGGAGCAAACAGG
rnacentral:rRNA from 1 species